ensembl:lncRNA
GCUGUCUAUGGGGUCGCACAGAGUCAGACACGACUGAAGUGACUUAGCAGCAGCAGCAGCAGCAGUGGAAAGAGUGACAAGAAUUCCUCGCAGCUCAGUUAUCAGUGGACAAAUAGAUGAUCUUGGAAACCGGCAAUCUGCAUCUCCUCCUGAAGAUAUCAGCUAGAUAAUGAAGAAAUACAUUCCAGGGUUCAGAGGAACAUUAAUGAUUAGCCUGAUGAAGGACAGUGUGAAGCCCAAGACAUUUGAAAGCUUCUAAACUGGUGAUGACUUCCUGGAACUGGACAACAACAUUCUACUGUCAAUGCAGUAGUGGCCCCAGAAAGAAUGGGAGAACUUGCCCCCAAGAUUAAUUCUUUCUGUGGAGGGGAGUAUGUGUGUGUGGGUCCCUGAGUGGGGGUGGGAUGGAUGGGAGAGAACAAUAGAGGAAAAAAGAAGCAUAGUUUCCACACAGAGUAGAGCCUUUGGAGCUGUUGAAUAGUCCAAUCCAUUUUCAUGUGGAGAUUUUACUAAAGGCAUUUUAUUAUGAUUACCAGUAAAGAUUUAGUCAUAUUAUUU